AUGGAGUUCGGCGAGCAUAGAGUGGAGACCCACGCGAGGGAGACGGAUCUCUCGGUGGUGUACACCAUCGACCCGGCCGUGGUGGACGACUACAUCAACAGCAUUGAGCAGUUGCUUGCUCGAGACAAGUACAAGGUGGUCGGCAUCGACCUCCGGUACACCGCUGGUCGUCCCGGCAUAAAACAGAAGGUUGCUGUUGCCCAGUUGUGUUUUACUUUGGUGUGUGCAAAUGCCAUGGUUGUAGUAGCCACCUAUUACCAUAUAACUGGAAUUAACCGAUGCAACUCCAAGAAGGAUUGGCCGGUGCUGCUGGCUGGCGUCAAGUUCGAUCCCACGGAUCAGGAGCUGAUCGAGCACCUUGAGGCUAAAGUGAGUGAUGACAGCGCGAGAUCUCACCCUCUCAUCGAUUUGUUCAUACAAACCAUCGACAGCGAGCACGGCAUAUGCUACACCCAUCCUGAGAAACUUCCAGGUAUCACACUGAGUGGCCUAAGAAAGCAUUUCUUCCAGCGCAAUUCCAGGGCGUUCAAAAGGGACACGUGGACGCGUCGCAAGAUACAGUCGGAGUGCGGCAUGCACGCGAUGUGGCACAAGACCGGCAAUACCUUGCCGGUGAUGGUCAAUGGCCGGCAGACGGGCAGCAAAAGAACCAACUGGGUGAUGCACCAGUACCACCUCGUGGACCUGGAGCAAGGGAAGGAGCGGGAGCUGGUCUUCUGCAAGAUUUUCUACUAG
rnacentral:rRNA from 1 species